rnacentral:rRNA from 1 species
GAUUUCUGAUAUUAAUAUGCAAAAGUCCGCUACCGUUAGGUAUGUGUGUACUAUUGUCAUAUUUAUCAUCCUUCUCAUAUAGACUAGGUUAAGCUUCUUCAUUGAGGUUUAGCUUAGUUUUUUUAUAUAUGAGAUCUUUUACUUUGAAAAAAUUAGAGUGUUUAAAGCAGGCGUUAUUGCUAUGAAUACAUUAGCAUGGAAUAAUAAUUUAGGACUUUGGUUUUAUUUUAUUGAUUUCUAAUCAACUGAAGUAAUGAUUGAUAGGGAUAGUUGGGGGUGCUCGUAUUCAGUGGCCAGAGGUGAAAUUCUCGGAUUCCCUGAAGACGAACUUAUGCGAAAGCAUU